CCCUUAGAUGUUCUGGGCCGCACGCGCGCUACACUGAUGCAUUCAACAAGCCUAGCCUUGACCGAGAGGUCCGGGUAAUCUUUGAAACUGCAUCGUGAUGGGGCUAGAUUAUUGCAAUUAUUAAUCUUCAACGAGGAAUGCCUAGUAAGCGUGAUUCAUCAAAUCGCGUUGAUUACGUCCCUGCCCUUUGUACACACCGCCCGUCGCCCCUACCGAUUGAAUGUGUUGGUGAGGAGCUCGGAUUGGCAGCAGUUGGUGGUUCGCCACCGGCUAUUGCUGAGAAGUCCUCCAAACCGCCCCAUUUAGAGGAAGGAGAAGUCGUAACA
rnacentral:rRNA from 1 species